AUUGAACGCUGGCGGCAGGCCUAACACAUGCAAGUCGAACGGUAACAGGAAGAAGCUUGCUUCUUUGCUGACGAGUGGCGGACGGGUUAGUAAUGUCUGGGAAACUGCCUGAUGGAGGGGGAUAACUACUGGAAACGGUAGCUAAUACCGCAUAACGUCGCAAGACCAAAGAGGGGGACCUUCGGGCCUCUUGCCAUCGGAUGUGCCCAGAUGGGAUUAGCUAGUAGGUGGGGUAACGGCUCACCUAGGCGCCGAUCCCUAGCUGGUCUGAGAGGAUGACCAGCCACACUGGAACUAAGACACGGUCCAGACUCCUACGGGAGGCAGCAGUGGGGAAUAUUGCACAAUGGGCGCAAGCCUGAUGCAGCCAUGCCGCGUGUAUGAAGAAGGCCUUCGGGUUGUAAAGUACUUUCAGCGGGGAGGAAGGGAGUAAAGUUAAUACCUUUGCUCAUUGACGUUACCCGCAGAAGAAGCACCGGCUAACUCCGUG
rnacentral:rRNA from 1 species